rnacentral:rRNA from 1 species
UACGUAGGGGGCAAGCGUUGUCCGGAUUUAUUGGGCGUAAAGAGCGUGUAGGCGGCCAGACAGGUCCGUUGUGAAAACUCGAGGCUCAACCUCGAGACGCCGAUGGAAACCGUCUUGCUAGAGUCCGGAAGAGGAGAGUGGAAUUCCUGGUGUAGCGGUGAAAUGCGCAGAUAUCAGGAAGAACACCCGUGGCUAAGGCGGCUCUCUAGUACGGUACUGACGCUGAGACGCGAAAGCGUGGGGAGCGAACAGG